GUGUCAGCCGCCGCGGUAAUACGAAAGGGGCUAGCGUUGUUCGGAAUUACUGGGCGUAAAGCGCGCGUAGGCGGCCUUGCAAGUUGGGGGUGAAAUCCCGGAGCUCAACUCCGGAACUGCCUUCAAAACUGCAAAGCUAGAGGAUGCGAGAGGUGAGCGGAAUUCCGAGUGUAGAGGUGAAAUUCGUAGAUAUUCGGAAGAACACCAGUGGCGAAGGCGGCUCACUGGCGCAUUUCUGACGCUGAGGCGCGAAAGCGUGGGGAGCAAACAGGAUUAGAUACCCUGGUAGUCCACGCCGUAAACGAUGAGGGCUAGUUGUCGGGCGGCUUGCCGUUCGGUGACGCAGCUAACGCAUUAAGCCCUCCGCCUGGGGAGUACGGUCGCAAGAUUAAAACUUAAAUGAAUUGACGGGG
rnacentral:rRNA from 1 species